GACCAGUCACACUGGAACUGAGACACGGUCCAGACUCCCUACGGGAGGCAGCAGUGGGGAAUAUUGGACAAUGGGCGAAAGCCUGAUCCAGCCAUGCCGCGUGUGUGAAGAAGGUCUUCGGAUUGUAAAGCACUUUAAGUUGGGAGGAAGGGCAGUUACCUAAUACGUGAUUGUUUUGACGUUACCGACAGAAUAAGCACCGGCUAACUCUGUGCCAGCAGCCGCGGUAA
rnacentral:rRNA from 1 species